rnacentral:siRNA from 1 species
AAAGUACCUUGACGCAAAUCCUGA